UACGAAGGGGGCUAGCGUUGUUCGGAAUUACUGGGCGUAAAGCGCGCGCAGGCGGCUAUCCAAGUCAGUGGUGAAAGCCCGGAGCUCAACUCCGGAACUGCCAUUGAAACUGUUUAGCUUGAGGAUGAGAGAGGUGAGUGGAAUUCCCAGUGUAGAGGUGAAAUUCGUAGAUAUUGGGAAGAACACCGGUGGCGAAGGCGGCGACCUGGUCCUUGACUGACGCUGAGGCGCGAAAGCGUGGGGAGCGAACAGG
rnacentral:rRNA from 1 species